UACGGAGGGAGCUAGCGUUGUUCGGAAUUACUGGGCGUAAAGCGCGCGUUAGGCGGCUUUGUAAGUUAGAGGUGAAAGCCCGGGGCUCAACCCCGGAACUGCCUUUAAGACUGCAUCGCUUGAAUCCGGGAGAGGUGAGUGGAAUUCCGAGUGUAGAGGUGAAAUUCGUAGAUAUUCGGAAGAACACCAGUGGCGAAGGCGGCUCACUGGACCGGUAUUGACGCUGAGUGAUGCGGAAAGCUGGGGAGCAAACAG
rnacentral:rRNA from 1 species